rnacentral:rRNA from 1 species
AUGAAGCUUGCUCUUUGGGUGGCGAGUGGCGGACGGGUGAGUAAUGUCUGGGAAACUGCCCGAUGGAGGGGGAUAACUACUGGAAACGGUAGCUAAUACCGCAUAACGUCGCAAGACCAAAGUGGGGGACCUUCGGGCCUCACACCAUCGGAUGUGCCCAGAUGGGAUUAGCUAGUAGGUGGGGUAAUGGCUCACCUAGGCGACGAUCCCUAGCUGGUCUGAGAGGAUGACCAGCCGCACUGGAACUGAGACACGGUCCCCACUCCUACCGGAGGCAGCACAGGGGAAUAUUGCUUAAAG